rnacentral:rRNA from 1 species
UACAGAGGUGCCAAGCGUUAGGCGGAAUCACUGGGCUUAAAGCGUGUGUAGGCGGACCGUUAAGUACCUUGUGAAAUCCCGCGGCUCAACCGCGGAACUGCUUGGUAUACUGGCGGCCUUGAGCCAUCUAGGGGCGACCGGAACAAAUGGUGGAGCGGUGAAAUGCGUAGAUAUCAUUUGGAACGCCAACGGUGAAAACAGGUCGCUGGGGAUGCGCUGACGCUGAGACACGAAAGCCAGGGGAGCAAACGGG